UUUCCUGGAGACCAGUGGUGCUUUACAGGUGUAAUCCUGGAGCUCUGCACUAUACAAAAACAAAGACUAUGUGAUCUGGCCCGCUGUAAGGAGGAAGAAAAUGUCUUGCUUAAGAGAAAAUUAUUUAUUGAGAGCUUGCAUCUACACACCAAUGACAAAUCUUUUUUGAGGACAGAAUGGUAUCACGUAAAGGGAAAUCAAGUCAAGCCAAGAAGUCAUCCAACUACACUUGGUUCACCGUGAGAGAAUGUGAGCAUGCAAAUUUGUGAAGCUGUGGAUAAAGCUUUCUGCAUUCACCAAAGGAUGUAUGAGGAAGAGAAGACAGUUUAGUCUAUGCUGCUAAAAUAUUUAAAUGACAAUAACUAUAUUUCCAUCAUAUCACCAACAUAGGGUUGAAUUUUUUUUAAAUUUUGCCUCCUAUUACUUUCUGAUAAACUUGAAUCAAAAAUACAUAUUUCUUAUCCUUUAUUGUUAUAUUAUUUUAAUGAUAGAUACAAAUUAUUUUUUAAAAAUUGCAUGUUUCAAUUGAGCUGGAACAAAUGACCAAUAUAUAGUAAUUACUUCAAAUAGUAUGAAUUCAAAUCAUGUGACCACUUCCCAGAAUACAAUAUUUGCACUAGUUGGGACUUGGCCAGAAACGUUUGUUCAAUGACUGAGAGUACCACCUUGGUUUUAGUUAACCCUGGUACGGAACCUUGAACUUAUCCUUGAUGACCCCCAUAUUUAAUCAUUUGCAAAUUCUCCAUAAUACCUCCAUAAUACAUCAUCCAUGUGUCCCCUCCUCUCCACUCACAUGGCUACUAUCUUAGGUCAGGACCUCGUGACCACUCAUGUAAUAGUCUCUUAAUUGGAUUCCCUUCUACUCUUUUCUCUCUCUGAUCUACGUCCCCCCCCCCUUGCCAAAAUAGGUUUCCUAGAGCAUAAGUCUGAAGCAGUUUCAUUCCCCUACCUCCUUCACUGGCUCCGUAUUAAACUCUUCAGUGUAGCAUUUAAAGUCCCUCACAAUCUACCUCUAAUUUACCUUUCCAGAAUGACUUGACAUUAUUCCCUCUAAUGUACUCACUGUUCCAGCUGAGCUAGUCCAUUUGCUGUUACCUAAACUCUCUAAAGCUUGGCAGCUGAUCAGAUAUGGGGGGAGGGGUGGUAGUGUUAAGAAAGGUGAGUCAGAGAUGACACCGGUGUUGUGAAUCCCCUUGAAAUAACUAAAGAAAGUUUAGAGGAGUAGCAGGUUA